AAACAAGCUCCGUGCAGUCCUACAUAGUCUGUGUGAACAGUCAUGUCGGAGGAAAAACAAAUUCUAGAUGAGCCACCCCCGUCCUACGAGUCCCUGUACGGUAAAAUCAAACGGGCCAAGGUCGAGUCGGACAACAAUGUGGGCUUCUUCAGAACUGUGGCAGGACUGCUGUUUGCUUCAGUGGGCUGUACCAUCUGUCUUGUGAUGGUUUUGGCAAUCCCGGUAGCUAACAUUGUCAUUGGUGCCCUUUACCGAGACAAGUGUCCCUUGGAGCGGUUCAUCCCGAUCUAUCUGAUUGUGUCCGGGGCCGUGGGAAUCGUCUACAAUGUGUUCGGGAUCCUCCGUAAGCUUGCCAAGAGCAGGAACGGGGAGGGGGAGGAGGAGGAGGACCGCCCGGGGGUCUUCACCAGCAUCUGUAACUGCCUGUUUGGCUGCUUCCUGUAACGUUUGGAUCUACAGUAACUACGAUGACUGGUCCAAGGAUCCAAGUCACGUGGACAAGUACUGCCACCCCACGUGUUACCUGUACGCGUUCUGGACCACGACCGCCGUCUACAUCAUGACCGGUGCCACCAUUGUACUGGGGUGCUGCUCCGCCUGUAUUGCUGCCUGCUGCAGCUGUUUCCAGGACUAAAGGACGAAAGAAAGGGAGAGAUGUUUUACCGAGACAUAUCGCGAGGAUCGCCGCGGGGUUUUUAUAUACUAGUAAUGUUUUCAUUGACAAGAAUGCUAAAUGAUGCUGCAUUGUCUGAACUAAAUGACAAGAAACAGAGAGACAGAACAAUUGUUGAAGACUCUACAUGUUGAAAUGUUGACGUGUCGAUGGUUACUUAUGUGGAAUGAUUUGAUUUGCGCUCAGUCGUCUAUGUUUGUUUUUUAAUGAUUAUCAUAAUAUUUAAUCCCUAUCAGUUACUUUUUUCUUUGAUAUAUUACAGUCUAUGAGAGUGUCACGGAAGUAAUAUUUAUAUAUACCUGUAUAUCUAAUGAAGAACUACGUGAUCCGGUGUUUUACUGGCAAGGUUCCAUAAACCUUUCCAUCUUGUUUACACUGUACAUGUCUUGUUGUAUUGUGUCAUUGUAUAAAGUAUUGAAAUUAAAUUAUUUAUCUAAGC
rnacentral:misc_RNA from 1 species